GAAGGGUAACAUGAAGUUUAAUGGGUUGAAUAAAAUAAUGAUGCUGUAGCUGUGGAUCAGUAAUCAUUAGCUACUAGUCAGUGCAGAUAGAAGUUCACUUCUUUUUUUGGUGUUUAUCUUUAGUUAAUAGUUCACUUCUUCUUUUAGUGUUUAUCUUCAAGACCACUAAUAGAUUGAACAUUGUCUGACCCAAAAUUGCGGCCCCACCUAAUCUUGGCUCUUUU
rnacentral:misc_RNA from 1 species